GCUUGGGUAAGAUAGAAAUUGCAUGUGUUUCAUUAUACGAGCCUAGAGACUAAAUCGUAAAAUGUCAAAGGUUAGGGGCAAAACGGUCAUUUGAUCCGAGGGUAGAUAUUAAACUUGAAAUGUAUAAUGUAGGGUAUUAAUGAGUUAAUUUUGCUGUUAUAGACCCUGAGGAACAAAUUCCGGAGGUUAAUCGUGGUAAACGUAAGGUUUCAGAAUAACCGAAACACAAU
rnacentral:lncRNA from 1 species